rnacentral:lncRNA from 1 species
AUUUCAGAAAAAUAUAAGGUUUAGGGUUUAGGGUUUAGAGUUGAUGUUUUAGGGUUUUGAUUCGAAGGUUUAGGGUUUAGGGUUUAUAGUUGAUGUUUUGGGGUUUAGGUUUUAAAGUUGAUGUUUCAUGGUUUAGGGUUUAGAGUUGAUGAUUUACGGUUUAAAGUUGAUGUUUUAAGUUUAGAUUUAGGGUUUAAGGUUUACGUUUAGAGUUUAGAGUUGAUGUUUCGGGGUUUAGGGUUUAGAGUUGAUGUUUCAUGGUUUAGGGUUUAGAGUUGAUGAUUUAGGGUUUAGAGUUGAUGUUUUAAGUUUAUAUUAGUUAACCAUAUGUUUUUUUUUGUCAAAUAUAAUCAAAAGGUUAUAAAUAUCUUUUAUCCUUCAUUAAA